GUUAGGAAUAUUGGACAAUGGGCGAAAGCCUGAUCCAGCCAUGCCGCGUGAACGAUGAAGGCCUUCGGGUUGUAAAGUUCUUUAGCCGAUGAUUAUAAUGACUGUAGUCGGAAAAUAAGCCCCGGCUAACUUCGUGCAAGCAGCCGCGGUAAUACGAAGGGGGCGAGCGUUAUUCGGAAUCACUGGGCGUAAAGCGUGCGUAGGCGGUUUGGUAAGUUAGGAGUGAAAGCCCAGGGCUCAACCUUGGAAUUGCUCUUAAAACUGCAAGGCUCGAAUCUCGGAGAGGAUAGCGGAAUUUCCAGGGUAGCAGUGAAAUGCGUAGAUAUUGGAAGGAACACCAGUGGCGUAAGCGGCUAUCUGGACGAGUAUUGACGCUGAGGCACGAAGGCGUGGGGAUCAAACAGGAUUAGAUACCCGAGUAGUCC
rnacentral:rRNA from 1 species